rnacentral:rRNA from 1 species
UACGUAGGGGGCAAGCGUUGUCCGGAAUCAUUGGGCGUAAAGAGCUCGUAGGCGGUUUGUCGCGUCGAAUGUGAAAACCCGGGGCUCAACUCCGGGCCUGCAUUCGAUACGGGCAGACUAGAGUUCGGUAGGGGAGUCUGGAAUUCCUGGUGUAGCGGUGAAAUGCGCAGAUAUCAGGAGGAACACCGGUGGCGAAGGCGGGACUCUGGGCCGAUACUGACGCUGAGGAGCGAAAGCGUGGGGAGCGAACAGG